rnacentral:lncRNA from 1 species
CGUGUGCAUGUUUACUUAAAGGUUAAAGUCAGGCUCAUGUCCUUACUAACUAAUAAGUUUUUCUCCUUAUAAUACAGUUUUUUUUUUAUUUUACAUUAACUGUUUAUUAAUUCCCAUUAUUUGAAAAUAACUAAUUACACUUGUUGAGUAAAGGGGAAAAACUACUAUAUUAAAAUUGAAAGCGACAUUUUUAUAAACGUCUUCAUCUAUAU